rnacentral:rRNA from 1 species
GAUGAACGCUGGCGGCGUGCCUAAUACAUGCAAGUCGAGCGAACAGACGAGGAGCUUGCUCCUCUGACGUUAGCGGCGGACGGGUGAGUAACACGUGGAUAACCUACCUAUAAGACUGGGAUACCUUCGGGAAACCGGAGCUAAUACCGGAUAAUAUAUUGAACCUCAUGGUUCAAUAGUGAAAGACGGUUUUGCAGUCACUUAAGGACGGAUCGGCGCCGCAUUAGGUAGUUGGUAAGGUAAGGGCUUACCAAGGCGACGAUGCGUAGCCGGUCUGAGAGGAUGAUCGGCCACACUGGGACUGAGACACGGUCCAGACUCCUACGGGAGGCAGCAGUGGGGAAUCUUGCGCAAUGGGCGAAAGCCUGACGGAGCCAUGCCGCGUGAAUGAUGAAGGUCUUAGGAUUGUAAAAUUCUUUCACCGGGGACGAUAAUGACGGUACCCGGAGAAGAAGCCCCGGCUAACUUCGUG